AGUGAACGCUGGCGGUAGGCCUAACACAUGCAAGUCGAACGGCAGCACAGAGGAGCUUGCUCCUUGGGUGGCGAGUGGCGGACGGGUGAGGAAUACAUCGGAAUCUACUUUUUCGUGGGGGAUAACGUAGGGAAACUUACGCUAAUACCGCAUACGACCUACGGGUGAAAGCAGGGGAUCUUCGGACCUUGCGCGAUUGAAUGAGCCGAUGUCGGAUUAGCUAGUUGGCGGGGUAAAGGCCCACCAAGGCGACGAUCCGUAGCUGGUCUGAGAGGAUGAUCAGCCACACUAGAACUGAGACACGGUCCAGACUCCUACGGGAGGCAGCAGUGGGGAAUAUUGGACAAUGGGCGCAAGCCUGAUCCAGCCAUACCGCGUGGGUGAAGAAGGCCUUCGGGUUGUAAAGCCCUUUUGUUGGGAAAGAAAUCCAGCCGGCUAAUACCUGGUUGGGAUGACGGUACCCAAAGAAUAAGCACCGGCUAACUUCGUGCCAGCCGCCGCGGUAA
rnacentral:rRNA from 1 species